rnacentral:lncRNA from 10 species
GCCCUUCCUUUCCUGACGUCUUCUGAAGAAAGUGCUUGCUGCCCCUUCACCUGCCACCAUGAUGGCAGUAACUUCAAGGUGUUGUGGUGGAUGUAGAUUUUUGCUGCAAGGAAAUAACGCUACAGAUUGCCAAAUUUAAGAAGAUACUAAAUUACCAAAAGUUGCUGCUUGAUCUUUCUGGAAACAAAUCCAGGGAGAAGUUGAGGUGAUGGGAAAGCAGAGCCCCAGAGAGAGUGCUGAGAAUAAUAACUGUGAUUUCAAAAGUCUCCUUUAAAGGAAUCUUAGCAAGUUCCACAAAGAAGUCUUUAGCUACCAGUGGUAACUUCUAUUUCUGAUAAACUUGAAAUACAAAGAGCAAACUGUCUUAGUCAUCUCAGGCUGCUGUAACAAGGCAACAUAGACUGGGUGGCUUACACAACACGGAUAUUCAUUUCCUACAGUUCUGGAGGCUGGGAAGUCCAAGAUCGAGGUGUCUGCAGAUUCCGUUCUUAGUGACGACCUUCUUCCUGCCUUCCGGCAGCAAGUUAAUUGCUAUAUUCUCACAUGGCAGAGAGAGGAAGCUCUGCUGUCUUCCUUUUCUUACAAAGGCACUAAUUCCAUCAUAGGGGCUCCAUCCUCGAUGUAAUCUAAACCUAAUUACCUUCCGAAGGCUUCACCUCUGAAUACCUUCACUUUGGGGAUUAAGGCUUCAAGAUCUAAACUUGGGGGGUGGGGGAAUAGUCAUUCAUUCCUUAACACAAACCAAUAUCAUCUUGGCUGAGUAUAUUCAUAUUGAACAUGCCUGUCCGUACAGCAUUUGACUGUGAACAUAAUUCUCCAAGAGAACACAGGAUAUCAAAGAGCCCCUUCCCUUUCAUAAAACCUGUGCCUUGUUUCCUCAUAAGUCUUAGCCUCAAGUGUUUUGCUUCUUUUUCUACCUGCCUCCCACUACCCCCAUUUAUUUUCUUUUCAAAACUAAAUGUGUCAAGGAAGAAUGAUCCUUAAAAAGUGAUUGAGGGCCGGGCACAGUGGCUCAUGCCUGUAAUCCCAGCACUUUGGGAGGCAGAGGCAGGUGGAUCACGAGGUCAGAAGAUCAAGACCAUCCUGGCCAACAUGGUGAAACCCCAUCUCUACUAAAAUACAAAAAUUAGCCAGGACUGGCUGCUGCCAUGUGAAGAAAGACAUGUUUGCUUCCCCUUCUGCUAUGAUUAGCCUUUGACCAUGACUUCCCAAUGCCUAGAAUUCUUCUAUCCUUGUCUUGCCUGUGGAAAUGCUGUUCAUUCAUCUGGCCACUACAGGUGGCGCAUGCCUGUAGUCCCAGCUACUCAGGAGGCUGAGGCAGAAGAAUCGCUUGAACUGGGAGGUGGAAGUUGCAGUGAGCCGAGAUUGCACCACUGAACUCCAGUCUGGCAAGACAGUGAGACUUCGUCUCAAAAAACAAACAAACAAACAAACAAAAAAAAAGUGAUUGGGAGCAGUAGUUGUACAUUAGAACCGGAGCUGGUCCUCCAUAGCCUUCCUUUGUAUUAGCACAUCAAUAUUGCCUUAAAAAGACAGCAUAUGGCAGAGAGGGAAAUGACUCACAAUUCAUGUACAGCCCAGCUGUGUGUGUGUGAUUUGUCUUCAUAAGGGAUUAAAAAUAAAUUACUGAUCAAAUUAAACUUUAUAGAAAAAUAUAUCUGUGUCCUAGAUGCAUACAAUGUCUAUUUUUUGAACAUGUCCAUAUAUAUUUUUCUUGGUAGGAAAAGAAUUUGAAGACUAAGUUAAUAAUGAGAUAGGAGGAAUG